rnacentral:rRNA from 1 species
CACGUAGGGUGCAAGCGUUGUCCGGAAUUAUUGGGCGUAAAGAGCUCGUAGGCGGCUUGUCGCGUCGACUGUGAAAACCUAGGGCUCAACCCUGGGCCUGCAGUCGAUACGGGCAGGCUUGAGUGUGGUAGGGGAGACUGGAAUUCCUGGUGUAGCGGUGAAAUGCGCAGAUAUCAGGAGGAACACCGGUGGCGAAGGCGGGACUCUGGGCCGAUACUGACGCUGAGGAGCGAAAGCGUGGGGAGCGAACAGG